rnacentral:rRNA from 1 species
AGCUUCAGUAGCGUAUAUUAAAGUUGUUGCAGUUAAAAGCUCGUAGUCGCAUUUCUGGUGAGAGGAUCCGGUCCGACCUUAGGGUGGGUUCUUGGAUCUCUCUCGCCAUCCUUGAGUGGUCCUCUCUGGCAUUAGUUUGUUGGAGUGAUAGCCGCUCAUCGUUUACUGUGAGAAAAUUAGAGUGUUCAAAGCAGGCUAUCGCCUUGAAUAUAUUAGCAUGGAAUAAUAAUAUAGGACUUUGGUUCUAUUUUGUUGGUUGUUCGAGAACCGAAGUAAUGAUUGAUAGGGACAGUUGGGGGCGUCAGUAUUCUGAAGCGAGAGGUGAAAUUCUUGGACCUUCGGAAGACUAACAACUGCGAAAGCAUUCGCCUAGGAUGUUCUCUUUAAUCAAGAACG